GGGAGACUAGCCGUCCUGGUUUGCCUGGAACUGAGGGGCUUCCCAGACACAAGACUUUCAGGGCUAAAAUCAG
rnacentral:miRNA from 1 species